rnacentral:pre_miRNA from 1 species
GGUACUCAAAGGGAGGUUGUUCGUGGUGAGUUUGCAUCGUUUAAUGAUGCCCAAUAUAUGGUCUAACUCUUUUGGGUAUC